rnacentral:rRNA from 1 species
UACGUAGGGACCGAGCGUUGUCCGGAAUCAUUGGGCGUAAAGAGCGUGUAGGCGGCCACUUAAGUCCUGCGUGAAAUCUUGCGGCUCAACCGCAAGCGGUCGUGGGAAACUGGGUGGCUAGAGUGCGGGAGAGGAGAGUGGAAUUCCUGGUGUAGCGGUGGAAUGCGCAGAUAUCAGGAAGAACACCCGUGGCGAAGGCAGCUCGCUGGGACGGUACUGACGCUGAGGCGCGAAAGCGUGGGGAGCAAACAGG